rnacentral:tRNA from 1 species
GGGGUUGUGGCUCAGUGGUCGAGCGCUCGCCUAGCAUGUGCGAGGCCCUGGGUUCAAUCCUCAGCACCACA